rnacentral:rRNA from 1 species
GACGAACGCUGGCGGCGUGCCUAAUACAUGCCAGUAGAACGCACAGUUUAUACCGUAGCUUGCUACACCAUAGACUGUGAGUUGCGAACGGGUGAGUAACGCGUAGGUAACCUGCCUGGUAGCGGGGGGUAACUAUUGGAAACGAUAGCUAAUACCGCAUAAUAUUGAUUAUUGCAUGAUAAUUGAUUGAAAGAUGCUAUUGCAUCACUACCAGAUGGACCUGCGUUGUAUUAGCUAGUAGGUGAGGUAACGGCUCACCUAGGCGACGAUACAUAGCCGACCUGAGAGGGUGAUCGGCCACACUGGGACUGAGACACGGCCCAGACUCCUACGGGAGGCAGCAGUAGGGAAUCUUCGGCAAUGGACGAAAGUCUGACCGAGCAACGCCGCGUGAGUGAAGAAGGUUUUCGGAUCGUAAGGCUCUGUUGUAAGAGAAGAACGGGUGUGAGAGUGGAAAGUUCACACUGUGACGGUAUCUUACCAGAAAGGGACGGCUAACUACGUG